rnacentral:rRNA from 1 species
AGGGCACCACCAGGAGUGGAGCCUGCGGCUUAAUUUGACUCAACACGGGGAAACUCACCCGGCCCGGACACCGUAAGGAUCGACAGAUUGAUAGCUUUUUCAUGAUUCGGUGGAUGGUGGUGCAUGGCCGUUCUUAGUUCGUGGAGCGAUUUGUCUGGUUUAUUCCGAUAACGAGCGAGACUCUAGCCUACUAAAUAGUUCGCACAUUGUCUCUGUGUGUGUGACUUCUUAGAGGGAUUUUCGGUGUUCAGCCGCACGAAAUUGAGCAAUAACAGGUCUGUGAUGCCCUUAGAUGUCCGGGGCUGCACGCGCGCUACACUGGCAAAAUCAGCGUGCUUGUCCUUCCCCGAAAGGGGUUGGUAAACCCUUGAAAAUUUGCCGUGAUUGGGAUUGGAAAUUGCAAUUAUUUUCCAUGAACGAGGAAUUCCAAGUAAGUGCGAGUCAUCAGCUCGCGUUGAUUACGUCCCUGCCCUUUGUACACACCGCCCGUCGCUGCCCGGGACUGAGCCAUUUCGAGAA